rnacentral:rRNA from 1 species
AGCUCCAAUAGCGUUUAUUAAAGUUGCUGCAGUUAAAAAGCUCGUAGUUGCAUUUCCGAGGCAAGGGAUUAGUCCGACCUUUGGUGGGUAUUUAAUCCUCUUGCCUCGUCCUUGAGUGGUGCUUCUUGGUAUUAAGUUAUCGAGGAGAUAGCCGCUCAUCGUUUACUGUGAGAAAAUUAGAGUGUUCAAAGCAGGCUUAUGCCGUUGAAUAUAUUAGCAUGGAAUAAUAAGAUAGGACCUCGGUACUAUUUUGUUGGUUUGAGAACCAAGGUAAUGAUGAAUAGGGACAGUUGGGGGUAUUCGUAUUCAGUUGUCAGAGGUGAAAUUCUUAGAUUUACGGAAGACGAACUACUGCGAAAGCAUUUACCAAAGAUGUUUUCA